AAAGGGAGACCUAAUUCAGGUAAAAGACGAAAAAAAAGUAGUCGCUACCAAGAAUCAAUCCCAAAAGGUCGGAGCGAGGCGAAAUUGGCUUUCAAACUAGGUUCUGGGUUCAAACAAGACCUGAAUCAGGAACAAGGGCUAUUAGCUCAGGUGGUUAGAGCGCACCCCUGAUAAGGGUGAGGUCCCUGGUUCGAGUCCAGGAUGGCCCACCCGCACAGGUGGCAAAAACAAGAGAAGCGAGGAAUCAGCACCUUAUCUUACUGACAUAGUAAGAGAGAAUGCUGGCUCUGAGUAAAGAGUCCAGAGGAACCUUGAAAACUGCAUAGAGCUAGGUGAAAAAGCCAAAAAAGAAGACCGCAAG
rnacentral:tRNA from 1 species